rnacentral:rRNA from 1 species
AACGAACGCUGGCGGCAGGCCUAACACAUGCAAGUCGAGCGAGGACUUCGGUCCUAGCGGCGGACGGGUGAGUAACGCGUGGGAACGUGCCCUUUGCUACGGAAUAGCCCCGGGAAACUGGGAGUAAUACCGUAUGUGCCCGAGAGGGGAAAGAUUUAUCGGCAAAGGAUCGGCCCGCGUUGGAUUAGGUAGUUGGUGGGGUAAUGGCCUACCAAGCCGACGAUCCAUAGCUGGUUUGAGAGGAUGAUCAGCCACACUGGGACUGAGACACGGCCCAGACUCCUACGGGAGGCAGCAGUGGGGAAUCCUAGACAAUGGGCGCAAGCCUGAUCUAGCCAUGCCGCGUGAGCGAUGAAGGCCUUAGGGUUGUAAAGCUCUUUCAGUGGGGAAGAUAAUGACGGUACCCACAGAAGAAGCCCCGGCUAACUUCGUGCCAGCCGCCGCUGUAAUAC